UCUCAUUGAUGCUCGCCCGUCACCGUAGAGCGAGGGCGGUGGAGACAAGCGCGUUGCCAGGUCAUCGUUGGCGCUUCCCGCUAACAGAUGGCGCCGCCGCACCGCUUGCGCGUCACUGUGCCUUCGUCUUUCCUUUCUUUCGUCCUUUCAUUCCCGGCCCUGUGCGCUCGGAGGCACUGGCGGGAUGCUCAGAUCGAAAAACGAAGCGCCGAGGGCUUGGUCGCCUCGAAACUUUUUCGCGCGCUCGCGCGCUGCCCAAAGUUAGGGGCACUUCGUGAAAGCAAAAGAAAAACGCGACGAUCCGAGGAAGCUUCCCUGUCUUUUACCGCGUAGCUCGGCUUCUUCGUCCACUGCAAUUGUGCCGGGACCGUUUCUUCAUUCAAGAUAUCGGCAUCCACACGCGCAAGGCCGGUGAAAUGGUGGCUAAACUGUCGGUGCUUCUGUGUUCGCGCACCAACCGUGGUACACUCACCUGCUGAGGGUCAAACUGAAGUGCAAGUUCAAUUUCAAGACGCCGGAAUUCCUUGAAGAAGGCCUCGUGCGGCGAAGUUUUGUUGCCGGCAUGACUUGAAGUACAGUCACUGGUUGCAUUUUUGCUGCGUUAUAUAAGAUGCUGCUGUCGGUGCCUUAAGGAUUGCUCUGUUUUUGCGAGGAAGUCCGUGCGAAAACGUGGAAUUUGGCGAGAGUUAUUUUUGUCUCGAAUGUUCGUCUUUGACCUGUUGAUACGUGCCUGUGCGCGACGCAAUCAGGAGACGAUUGGUCCUGGUGGUCGAAACAUGUAGCCACACGUGAACAAGUUUGGUGAACGUCCAUGGGUGCCGACAGGCCACGCAUUUGAGUAUUCCCAUCCUCGCAGUGCCGUUUGGACCAGAAGAAAGCAUCCUCACGACCCGGAGUGACGCACGGAUAACAGGAGGCUGAAGCUGUCGUCGCGUGGUUGCGUCCGCCUCUUUGAAUAUUCCAGCUCAAGGAAAUCAAUUAUGCUAUCUGGCAAAGUUGGUGGAAUAUGGGCCAAUCCGAAUCCCCGGAAUAAAGUUUGGCAACAGCAAGACCAUUUUCCUUGACUCGCCGCUUCUAA